rnacentral:rRNA from 1 species
UGACCCAGCAACGCCGCGUGAAGGAAGAAGGCUUUCGGGUUGUAAACUUCUUUUGACAGGGAAGAGCAGAAGACGGUACCUGUCGAAUAAGCCACGGCUAACUACGUGCC